GAGUGAUACAUCGGUUUUAAAUUUGUUAAACCGAUGUAACACUCUCAAAAUUAAUCUUGUGUUUCUUGGAAAACGUAAAAUUAACUGCGGAUGGAUAUGCGGUUUCACACUCCAACGUAUUCUCCUCAUCAGUCCAUUUGCGCGGAAUCUGCAGGUUCACUGUCCUACGAAACAAUCUACUUCAAGAGCAUCAACCUGUGAAGAUCGCCUUUGAUGAUUUGAAAAAGGUUGCCAUGGUUACAGAAAUUGGAGGAGCGUCCAGCUGUACGAGUCCUCAUGUCCCAUGAAUUGGCAGUCCAGUUCAACCUUUUUGGACGACAUUGGAAACACAAGCUCCGUGACCUGCGUCUCUUUGAAGUUGUGUAUGGGACACUUAAAAGAAAUGGAUCCAUCUACAGAAUCACACAAAGAUAUGGAAAAGGCACUCUCAAAGUGGUUUACUGGAGCCUGUGACUGGUGGAAAUAGGAAAGUUAGAACAACUAGGGAGGCUGCCAGUUCAAACUCAGGUGGGCAGAUCUUUCAAGAUGGACAGUUUCAAUAAUGUAUGAGAGCUUUCUAAG